CACCCAUGAGUCGCUUUUAUGGGGCAAGGAAGAUCCCUUAUUUAACAGUUUAGAAAAGAAAAAUAGCCUAAUUUAUUAACAAAUUAUGAAACACAUCCGUGGCUGCCAAUCAGAUAGUUGGGAAGGUUUUCUUCUUCUUACUUUCAUUAACUCCACUGAAAUGAUGUUGAGCAAUCUUGAAAGAGGAUGAUGAACAAUCUGGAAUAGAUAGAAAAUGAAAAUAAAUUAAAUCUAUUCUCUAUCUUUGCUAUUUUCAGUCCUGAUGCAAUGG